GGUUCCAUGGUGUAAUGGUUAGCACUCUGUGAUCCGAGUUCAAAUCUCGGUGGAGCCU
rnacentral:tRNA from 1 species